UACAGAGGGGGCUAGCGUUGUUCGGAAUUACUGGGCGUAAAGGGCGCGUAGGUGGCCUGUUAAGUCGAACGUGAAAUCCCCGGGCUCAACCCGGGAACUGCGUCCGAGACUGGCAGGCUUGAAUCCGGGAGAGGGAUGUGGAAUUCCAGGUGUAGCGGUGAAAUGCGUAGAUAUCUGGAGGAACACCAAUGGCGAAGGCAGCUCUCUGGGACGGUACUGACGCUGAGACGCGAAAGCGUGGGGAGCGAACAGG
rnacentral:rRNA from 1 species